rnacentral:snRNA from 10 species
CUAACAAUAUAGAGAAGAUUAGCAUCGCCCUUGUGCAAGGAUGAAAUACAAAUUUAUGAAGUGUUACAUAUUUUU